UGGGCUAUCAUGGCUUCACGGUUAAAAAUCGAUUUUAAGAAUGUGUGGGCCAAAAACUGACAUUUAAGUGGUAAGGUUUGUUCCAAAACAUGAGUGUAUGU